rnacentral:pre_miRNA from 1 species
UUUCUACUCCCUCCGUCCGAAAAUACUUGUCAUCAAAAUGGAUAAAAAGAGAUGUAUCUAAAACUAAAAUACGUCUAGAUACAUUUCCUUUUAUCCAUUUUGAUGACAAGUAUUUCCGGACGGAGGGAGUAUUUC